UCCUUCUUAGCUCAGUUGGUUAGAGCAUCUGACUGUUAAUCAGAGGGUCCUUGGUUCGAGCCCAAGAGGAGGAG
rnacentral:tRNA from 1 species